CCAGACUCCUACGGGAGGCAGCAGUGAGGAAUAUUGGUCAAUGGGCGUAAGCCUGAACCAGCCAAGUCGCGUGAGGGACGACGGCCCUACGGGUUGUAAACCUCUUUUGCCGGGGGACAAACGGCGGCACGCGUGCCGUCCUGAGGGUACCCGGAGAAAAAGCAUCGGCUAACUCCGUGCCAGCAGCCGCGGUAAUACGGAGGAUGCGAGCGUUAUCCGGAUUUAUUGGGUUUAAAGGGUGCGUAGGCGGCAUUAUAAGUUAGUGGUAAAAUAUUGGGGCUUCACCUCACUACGCCAUUAAUACUGUAGAGCUAGAGAACAGACGAGGUAGGCGGAAUAAGUUAAGUAGCGGUGAAAUGCAUAGAUAUAACUUAGAACACCGAUAGCGAAGGCAGCUUACCAGACUGAGUCUGACGCUGAUGCACGAGAGCAUGGGUAGCGAACAGGAUUAGAUACCCGAGUAAC
rnacentral:rRNA from 1 species